CAGGGGUCUAUCCCUAGUGACUUCAUUGCUGAUCUCGUCUCUUCUCUCAAGAUCUUUCAGCUGGCAGCUCAUGUGCCCGGCUUCCUUCCAUAGCUCUCAAAAGCAAGAAAAAAGUCUCCUUGUCCAUCUCUUCUAUGAUCAGAUAACUACUCACAAAACCACUCAGCUCCCGGAAGUUCCCAUUCACACCUGCCAAUCACUGGGCUGGAAAUGAGGACGCCGACUGGGAACGGGAGUGAUCUGGCUGUCAGUGUGUUUCUUCAGAAAUCAAAGUUGGCUCAUUGGCGCUAUCAUCAAAAUACUAAAGGUCCCAGGAGCUGUUAAAAUGGCUUGGUCCAGUUAUGCAACCAUGAAGAGAAGCAGCUGGACUCCUGGGGACGUUUCUAUAGCACCUUCUCUAGGGACAGAGGGAUUCACUCCUUCACCACAGCCCUGGCCCCUGGGGACAACGCAGCUCUUGUGAGGCGGCCAGCACAUAGUCCAACCAUUGCUGUUACCAGGAUACAGUCAUCUACCUAAGGAGAAGAAUUGAGGGUUCCAAGACUGCAUGUGGCUCAGCCCUACCUGGGUCUUGGCAGGGCCAUCGAUCAGCAAUGCACGACUUACUCGGUAGAACAAAUCAUGGACUCGGCACAUGAGUGCGUCUUCGGAAGUCUCCACAAGAAGAAAACAGAAAGGAGUUGCUUCCCCUGCCAGUACAAAUGCCACUCAGCACCCAAGCACGGAGAAAUGUGAUGGAAAUCGCAUCUGCAGAAAAGUGUGCUGUUAGUGGAUUAGCCAGGCUGACCUAUUCUUUCAAGCUAUUCAGAGAAAUAACAGUCAUUUAUAGCGAUUUUA